CUCCCAAAGUGCUGGGAUUACAGGCGUGAGCCACCGCGCCCGGCCAUAAAUCAUUCUGUUAAUAAAGGAGUAUGACCCUAAGAUCACCUCAAUAGGUGCUAAUAAGGUGUUUAAUAAAAGUUAAAACUCAUGUUCUAGAAACAAAAACAAUGAAGAGAAACUAAUAAUAGCUUCUGGCCAGGCACAGUGGCUCAUGCCUGUAAUCCCAGCACUUUGGGAGGCCGAGGUAGGUGGAUAACCUGAGGUCAGGAGUUCAAGACCAGCUUGGCCAACGUGGCAAAACCCUAUCUCUACUAAAAAUACAAAAAAAUUAGCCGAGCAUGGUGGCGCACGCCUGUAGUCCCAGCUACUCGGGAGGCUGAGGCAUGAGAAUUGCUUGAACCCAGGCAACAGAAGGUUGUAGUGAGCUGAGAUUGUGCCACUGCACUCCAGCCUGGGUGAUUGAGUGAGACUCUGUCAAAAAAGAAAAAAGAAAGAAAGGAAGAGAGAAAGAGAGAAGGAAAGGAAGGAAGGAAGGAAGGGAGGGAGGGAGGGAGGAAGGAGAAAGAAAGAAAGAGAAAGAAAGAAAGAGAAAGAAAGAAAGGGAAAACUUCUUUAACGCGAUAAAGAUUAUCCAUCAGAAACCAAGAGUGUUGGUAUCCAAGAAAAUGUUAAAAUUUUUUUUUAAUUAAAGAAAAAGAAACCAAGACCAAAUAUCAUAGGGAAUGGUGAAACACGCGUUUUAAUGACAAGUGCCUGCUAACAUCUAUGACUCAGCAUUGUACUGCAGUAUCAUUCUGGAAUCACCACUGGGUCUCUACAGGGGAGGUACAUACACCCUUAGAGAUGUAUACAUAUAUACCUUCUAGGAAAUGUAUUGGAAGAAUGUGGGAGCAUAUUUAGUUAUCAUAAUGAUCAGGGAGUUGAUAUUUUACAUAUGAAUUCAAGGAUUAAGUCCUUUGCAAGGAUUUAAUAAUACACUGAAAAAAUUCCAAGAAUGAAACUAGCACAUAGUGUGAGGGAAUAUCGUACUUUGCUUUUUCCAAACUGUAUCAAAAGUUGUUGAGCAUUUGGAAAAAUCUUGUACCUGUAGCACCAUGGUAGAUAUUUGAGUAGCCUAGUAUCAGUCUAAAUGUGUGUUGUCACAUUCCCAGUGGUAAUGGACAUAGAUAGAAGUAUCUCUGACAGCUUCAUUAUGGCUGUUAGUAUAUUUCCGUCCCUAACAUUUACAUAUUGAAGUAAUACUAUCUUAUUAUAGAAUUCUUUUCCUUAGGUUCUCCUUAAGUCCUUAUUACCUUAUAGCAUAAUACUUAUGGUUUAGAAAUUAUGAGAUUAAGUGGCUUAUAUUGCCUACAAAUUUCAUUUUAGAUUAUUAAAAGUAUUGUUACAUAUUCUUUGUUAUAAAUGUGAUAGAAUUAAGAACCACUGUUCUAGGCUGGGUGCGGUAGCUCACACCUGCAAUCCCAGCACUUUGGGAGGCUGAGGCAGGCAAAUCACUUGAGGUCAGGAGUUUGAGACCAGCCUGGUCAGCAUAGUGAAACCCUGUCUCUACUAAAAAUACAAAAAAUUAGCCAGGUGUGGUGGCGUGCGCCUGUAAUCCCAGCUACUUGGAAGACUGAGGCAGGAGAAUUACUGGAACCUAGGAAGUUUAGGUUGCAGUGAGCUGAGAUCGCCCCACUGCACUCCAGCCUGGGCGACAAGAGUGAGACUCUGUGAAAGGAGAGGAGAGGAGAAGGGAGGGGAGGGGGAAAGAAACAACGUUCUAGUGCUAUAAGCAAAGUAACUGAGGUAAAAUACAGGAAGGAAAAAAUAGAAGCUGUUUGUCAGAGAUAUAAUUGUAUUAGAAAAGUCAAGAGAGGCAACUAAAAACCAUUAGAAUUGGUAAGAGAGGUCACUAUGGUAGCAAUAUUGGAUAAAUGUAAAAGGUAUGAUUGACAAUGAUACAAACAGGCACUUGUUUUAUUUUUCUUUAUAAAUAUCAACUUUCCUUUGCAAACUGAACUCCUAACUCUAACCCUAUGCUAGCAAGGGUGGGUGGAGGAUGGUGAGGAAGACUAAGCGUUGCCCAGGAAUGUCUCUUCUGCUACAUGUAAUGAUUUUGUUCAGCAUGGUGGUGAUUACCUAUAGAGGUGCAGAGGGGAUGGUGAAGGGGAGAGCAAGGGCCACAGUCUCCCUGUUACACUCUCUCCUCUGUUCGGUGGGUCAAAGCUCUCAGCAGGAGACUAGACCAAAAUAAUGUAUGGUCUGCAGGCUAGGCUGUGCCCCUGGGCUAUGAUCUUUCCUCCACUGGGUUCCUUUCCAUUUUCAUUAAAGAAGAGAGAAAGACAGAGAAGGGAAGGAGGAAAAGAGAAAGUAAUUUUUUAAGAAAGUAAAGAAGGAAUAGUGAAAACAAGCAGAAAAAGAGGGGUACAUAUGUGCAUCCUGGGAACAAAGAAGGAUAUGCUCCCAAAUAUUAAAGUACUUGACUGACUUAGGGAAGGAGAUGUUGAGGGGCAGUAUAGAUGACUCUUACUUUAUGCAAUCCUGUGUUUAAAAAUUUUUACAACAUGGUCUAGCAAUUCCACUCUUAGGAGUAUAGCUAAGGGAAAUGGAAACCUAUGUUCACACAAAAAUGUAUACAUUAAUAUUCACAGAAGCAUUAUUCUUAAUAGCCAAAAAGUGAAAAUAACCCAAAUAGCCAUCAACUGAUGAAUGAAUAAAUAAAAUGUAGUACUUCCAUAUGACAGAAUAUUAUUUGGCAAUAAAAAGAAAUGAUGCCCAGACACUGUGGCUCACACCUGUAAUCCCAGCACUUUGGGAGGCCAAAGUGGGAGGAUCGCUUGAAGCCGGGAGUUCAAGACCAGCCUGGACAACAUAGCAAGAUUUCAUUUCUAUCUUUUCUUUAAAAAAUGAAAUACUAACACAUGCUGAACUGAACAUGGAUGAACCUUGCAAACAUUAUGCUAGGUGAAAGAAGCUAGUCACAAAGGACCACAAUUUAUGAAUCCGUUUUUAUGAAAUGUCCAAAAUAGGCAAAUCUAUGGACAGAAAGUAGAAAGCAGAUUCGUGGUUGCCCAAGACCAAGGAAAUGAGGGCAUUAGGGGAUGAUGGCUAAAGGGUGCAAAGGUUCUUUUUGGGGUAAUGAGAAUAUUCUGGAACUUAUUGUGGUGACGAUUACACAUCUCUGUGAAUAUACUAAAAGCUAUUGAAUUAUACACUUUAAAUGGGUCAGUUGUAUGCUAUGUGAAUCAUAUCUCAAUAAUAAAGUCAUUAACAAAAACUUUGUGAAGAGCA
rnacentral:lncRNA from 1 species